AAUAUUGGACAAUGGGCGCAAGCCUGAUCCAUCCAUGCCGCGUGUGUGAAGAAGGUCAUAGGAUUUUACAGCACUUUAAGUUGAUAGAAAGGGCAGUAAGCUAAUACCUUGCUGUUUUUACUUUACCGACAGAAUAAGCACCGGCUAACUUCGUGCCAGCAGCCGCGGUAAUACGAAGGGUGCAAGCGUUAAUCGGAAUUACUGGGCGUAAAGCGCGCGUAGGUGGUUCGUUAAGUUGGAAGUGAAAGCACCGGGCUUAACCUGGGAAUUGCUUUAAAAACUGAAGAGAUAGAGUAAGGUAGAGGGUAGUGGAAUUUCCUGUGUAGCGGUGAAAUGCGUAGAUAUAGGAAGGAACAUCAGUGGCGAAGGCGACUACCUGGACUGAUACUGACACUGAGGUGCGAAAGCGUGGGGAGCAAACAGG
rnacentral:rRNA from 1 species